rnacentral:rRNA from 1 species
GAUGAACGCUGGCGGCGUGCCUAAUACAUGCAAGUCGAGCGAACAGACGAGGAGCUUGCUCCUCUGACGUUAGCGGCGGACGGGUGAGUAACACGUGGAUAACCUACCUAUAAGACUGGGAUAACUUCGGGAAACCGGAGCUAAUACCGGAUAAUAUAUUGAACCGCAUGGUUCAAUAGUGAAAGACGGUUUUGCUGUCACUUAUAGAUGGAUCCGCGCCGCAUUAGCUAGUUGGUAAGGUAACGGCUUACCAAGGCAACGAUGCGUAGCCGACCUGAGAGGGUGCUGGCCCAAAAGGAAAGGGAGAAACGGCAAAGCCUCGAGGGGGGGAAAGAGGUAGGAAAUUGCCGGAAAGGGGGAAAGGUUGGAGGGGGAAACGCCGGGGGAGGAAGAAGGGUUUUGGAAUGAAAAACCUUUUUAAUGGGGAAAAAAAAAAGGUGAAGGAAACAUGGAACGUUUGAAGGUAACAAAACAAGAAGCCAACGCUAAACAAC